UGCCCAGCAACUCCUAUCCCUGCCUCCGCAUGGUACCGGCCGGAAACUACGAUCAACCUUAGGGAAGGUCGGGUAACCAACCCCGGUGGGAACUUUGGUCGUAGGCUGACAGGAAAGG
rfam:Aedes albopictus isolate Foshan contig107123, whole genome shotgun sequence.